rnacentral:lncRNA from 1 species
UAACUCUGCAAAAGUAUGUUUUCUAAGUAGGCAGAAACUAUCCAAGUAUCUCCCCAUCUUUUUAGGCUGUGUAAUCAGGGGUGGGCAGCGAAGACUGCCUUAGGUGCGAAGUUCAAGAAGAACAGGAAUCACAAGAGAGGAUUUCAGAAUCUCAACAGAAAUGUCAGCAGCAUCAGCAACAGAGUAAAGGUGCUUGAUAGCAAGACAGCAAAAGAAAUCGUGGAUGUCGGUUCAGCACCGUGAUGCUCGUACCGUCCACUGGAGCAGUUUGAAGAAAGACUUUCAUUAACAUACUUACACAGCAGUUGGCAUGCUUCCGGUGGCACAAUCAGGAUUCAAGGCAGAGCGCUUAAUGCCAAAGGGUAUUUCAUUGACACUCUCAGCACCAGAAUCUUCAAGGACUUCACCCCAGGCACAACGAUACUGAAGCAAAUGAACGUUUAGAGUGUUCUGAUAAAGAACGAUGGGU